AUACGUAGGGGGCGAGCGUUGUCCGGAAUUACUGGGCGUAAAGGGCGCGCAGGCGGAUAUUUAAGUCAGCUGUAAAAGGCAUGAGCUCAACUCAUGUAUGCGGUUGAAACUGGGUAUCUAGAGUGCUGGAGAGGUAGGCGGAAUUCCCGGUGUAGCGGUGAAAGGCGUAGAUAUCGGGAAGAACACCAGUGGCGAAGGCGGCUUACGGGCCUGAAACUGACGCUGAGGCGGGAAAGCCAGGGGAGCGAACGGGAGUAGAGCCCCCGUUAGUCCUGGCCGUAAACGAUGAAUGCUAGGUGUGGGUGUCGAGAGGCAUCCGUGCCGGAGUUAACGCGAUAAGCAUUCCGCCUGGGGAGUACGAUCGCAAGAUUGAAACUCAAAUGAAUUGGCGGGG
rnacentral:rRNA from 1 species